rnacentral:rRNA from 1 species
AUUGAACGCUGGCGGCAGGCUUAACACAUGCAAGUCGAGCGGGGAAAGGUAGCUUGCUACCUGACCUAGCGGCGGACGGGUGAGUAAUGCUUAGGAAUCUGCCUAUUAGUGGGGGACAACAUCUCGAGAGGGAUGCUAAUACCGCAUACGUCCUACGGGAGAAAGCAGGGGAUCUUCGGGCCUUGCGCUAAUAGAUGAGCCUAAGUCGGAUUAGCUAGUUGGUGGGGUAAAGGCCUACCAAGGCGACGAUCUGUAGCGGGUCUGAGAGGAUGAUCCGCCACACUGGGACUGGGACACGGCCCAGACUCCUACGGGAGGCAGCAGUGGGGAAUAUUGGACAAUGGGGGGAACCCUGAUCCAGCCAUGCCGCGUGUGUGAAGAAGGCCUUUUGGUUGUAAAGCACUUUUAGCGAGGAGGAGGCUACCGAGAUUAAUACUCUUGGAUAGUGGACGUUACUCGCAGAAUAAGCACCGGCUAACUCUGUG